GACGAACGCUGGCGGCGUGCUUAACACAUGCAAGUCGAACGGGAUUUAGUAAACAGAAGCCUCGGUGGAAGAUUACUAAUGAGAGUGGCGAACGGGUGAGUAACGCGUGAGCAACCUGCCUAUGACAGUGGGAUAGCCUCGGGAAACCGGGAUUAAUACCACAUAAAAUCGUAGAAACACAUGUUUUAAAGGUCAAAGAUUUAUCGGUCAUAGAUGGGCUCGCGUCUGAUUAGCUAGUUGGUGAGAUAACAGCCCACCAAGGCGACGAUCAGUAGCCGGUCUGAGAGGAUGAACGGCCACAUUGGAACUGAGACACGGUCCAAACUCCUACGGGAGGCAGCAGUGGGGAAUAUUGCACAAUGGGGGAAACCCUGAUGCAGCGACGCCGCGUGAACGAAGAAGGUAUUCGUAUCGUAAAGUUCUGUCCUAUGGGAAGAUAAUGACAGUACCAUAG
rnacentral:rRNA from 1 species